AUUGUUCAAAAAGAUUAAGCCGCUCCUGGACCUGACAGCAUUCCUGCCCAUGCCAUGCCAAGUUUGCUUACAACACGACUGUCAUUGGCCUGAUCACCGAUGGCGACGAGACGACGUACAGAGAGGAGGUCAAAGCCCUGACAUCUUGGUGCCACCAUCCAGAGUGGCCUCCUCUCAAAUGCGACCAGUCUAUCAGGGCUUCACUCCACUAUCCAUGUCCCAAAGCCACUCUUCCAGACGCCGUAUGUCCGACCUGCCAGACACUCAACCUGCAGACGCACAGCGGCAUCUCUGACUGGACAUUCGCCUGCCUCUAAUGUGCCCUCAAGGAAAGAAAAAUCUCAUUCCACUGGCCUGCCUGCCUGCCCCAUUAUUCUCUCACCAUCUGUCUACUGGAGAGUAUUGUAUAAAUAAAUUAUUUAAACUUACUCCGUUUCCAGAGUCUAGUGCGCCUGGGUCUUCUCUGGACGUACCCAUAACACACCAAAGGCUAUUCACAUUUCUUAUCCUCUUGUGCGCAUGUCAAUACAUAUUUGUCCACUCAGAAAUAAGUAUCUCCUGAUUGAAAUAGCAUGUAGAAGUAAAACUGCAAGAUCAUUAACCAAACUUUAACAAGUGUGUUUGAAUAAAGUUAAUU
rnacentral:lncRNA from 1 species